CGCUGGACGGGGGAUUCGCGUGCCUCGCCCUGCUGUGGUGAGGCACGCGCUGCGUUCAGUCGCAGUUCAGCGGC
rnacentral:tRNA from 1 species